CCGCUGAAAUAAAUUCACUUGGUGAAUAUAAUCUUAUGCUUAACUAUACUUUGAGUUAAAAAAAUAAGCUAAGGGCCCAAGCCCAAGCCCACUCUUCUCUCUUUUUCUUUCUCUUAUACGUCUCUCUCUCUCUCUCCUCUCUGCAAAAGCACACCUCUCACCUCCCUCAUCUCUCCCUCUCGACAAACAUACAGACACCCUCUCACGCGCAGCUCCCUCUCCCCUCUCUCUCAUUCUCCUCCGACUGCAGAGGCCGAUGCCGACCGCCGCCGCAUUGGGCACCACCACCGCCCUCUCAUCUUUUUCUUUCUCCCUUCUCCCUCAAUUCGCCCAAACCCCCAAAUCCACAAAUCACUCCCUCUAAAUCCCUAAACCUUCUUUCUCCUACGAUUUCCGGCGAGGUUACCGCCGGACUUGGCCCCCCCUCUGCUCCAGCCGACAGCAGCAGUCAGCCGGACCGCCGCCAUCGCCGCCUCCCUCCUCCUCUGAUUCUUCAACUCAUCGACGCCCCGCCCCUCUCCUUGAGAGACGAACGGCAGCAGCCAUCAGCUACCACCGAUCGACCUCAAAGGCCGAGGCCGCCGUCUCUCCCUCCGCCGAACAGCCCCGCUAUCCAGCCGCCUCCUCUUUCUCUCUCUAUUUCUGGCAGACGGCCAGUAGGAGCCUCAGGCCACCACCGCCGUCGCCGGAUCCUCCCCUGUUCUCUCUCGAUCCCAACCUGCCCGACUCGCCACAACGACGACGACAGUUCUAAGAAUUCACGCACACAGCAGCAUACAUACACACGCACACGCCAACAAAAACAUGAAAAAGAUAGCUUCUUUUCAACAUAUUGUGCAAUUCAAAUUCUAGAAAAUAACAGGGUAUGUGUGUUGAUUUCUGUAUAUGAAAUAUGUUUAUGUCAUCGGUGAUGAUCUUCUUUGUGAAAUGAAUGACUGAUUAUUGAGUGUAUAUGAUAGUUGGUUUACCUCUUGUCAAAGAAAUGGAUUUUGGUUUCUCGAAAUAUAGCUGAGAAUGGGUUGCAGAUGAACUGUUGGAGUUGUUUUUGCACAAGAAUACAUAUGAUUCUGUGGUGUGGAGUGAUCGAAGUGUACUGGGUGAUUAGAAAUGAUGAGGACCGAGCUCUAAAAAG
rnacentral:lncRNA from 1 species